rnacentral:rRNA from 1 species
UACAUGUGGGGCAAGCGUUGUUCGGAAUUACUGGGCAUAAAGGGUGCGUAGGUGGUUUGGUAAGUCAGUGGUGAAAUCGUCCGGCCCAACCGGACACGUGCCAAUGAUACUGCCGAACUCGAGUGCGUGAGGGGUGGGGGGAACGAGCAGUGUAGAGGUGAAAUUCGUAGAUAUUCGCAAGAACACCAGUGGCGAAGGCGGCUCACUGGCCCGGUACUGACGCUGAGGUGCGAAAGCUAGGGGAGCAAACGGG